rnacentral:rRNA from 1 species
AGGUGGACAGGCAGGAAGAGAGAAUGCCGGUAUGAGUAGCGAAAAGAAGGGUGAGAAUCCCUUCCACCGAAAGCCUAAGGGUUCCUGGGCAACGAUCGUCGUCCCAGGGUAAGUCGGGACCUAAUCCGAGGCGGAGACGCGUAGGAGAUGGACAACAGGUUGAAAUUCCUGUACUGGCUGAGGCCGUUUGAGCGAAGGAGUGACACAGGAAGGAAGGCGCGCGUGCGAUUGGAAGAGCACGUCCAAGCAGGUAGGUUGGGAGACAGGCAAAUCCGUUUCCCAUGAGGCCGAGAUGCGAUGGGGAGCUUCUGGAGACAGAAGCGAAGGGGCUGGCACUAAACUGUCGAGAAAAGCUUCUAGUGAGGACUCAGGCACCCGUACCGAAACCGACACAGGUAGGCAGGAUGAGAAUUCUAAGGUGCGCGGGAAAACCCUCGUUAAGGAACUCGGCAAAAUAUAUCCGUAACUUCGGGAAAAGGAUAACCCAGCGUACGUGAAGUGCAGAAGCGCAUGGAGCGGAGAUGGGUGGCAGAAGAGAGGCCCAAGCGACUGUUUACCACAAACACAGGCGUCUGCUAAAGCGAAAGCUGAUGUAUAGAUGCUGACACCUGCCCGGUGCUGGAAGGUUAAGAGGAAGUGUUAGCGCAAGCGAAGCAGUGAAUUGAAGCCCCAGUAAACGGCGGCCGUAACUAUAACGGUCCUAAGGUAGCGAAAUUCCUUGUCGGGUAAGUUCCGACCCGCACGAAAGGUGUAACGAUUUGGGCACUGUCUCAACGAGGGACCCGGUGAAAUUGAAGUACCUGUGAAGAUGCAGGUUACCCGCGACUGGACAGAAAGACCCCAUGGAGCUUUACUGUAACCUGAGAUUGGAUUCCGGUAAGAGAUGUACAGGAUAGUUGGGAGGCUGAGAAGUGAGUACGCCAGUAUUCACAGAGCCGCUGGUGGGAUACCAACCUUGUUUUAUUGGAAUUCUAACGAGAAGCGUAACGAGCUUGCGGACAGUCUCAGGCGGGCAGUUUGACUGGGGCGGUCGCCUCCGAAAGAGUAACGGAGGCGCCCAAAGGUUCCCUCAGCGCGGACGGAAACCGCGCGAAGAGUGCAAAGGCAGAAGGGAGCUUGACUGCGAGACGGACAGGUCGAGCAGGGACGAAAGUCGGGCUUAGUGAUCCGGUGGUAGAGAGUGGAAUUGCCAUCGCUCAACGGAUAAAAGCUACCCUGGGGAUAACAGGCUUAUCUCUCCCAAGAGUCCAUAUCGACGGGGAGGUUUGGCACCUCGAUGUCGGCUCAUCACAUCCUGGGGCUGAAGUAGGUCCCAAGGGUUGGGCUGUUCGCCCAUUAAAGUGGUACGCGAGCUGGGUUCA